CGGUUCUCCCUCGCAGCUCCCACCUCUGUGUUCCCAUCACUUUUCACUUUUUCAGCUUUCCCUCAUCGAAUCGCUUCUCCGCUACUGGGCUUAGGCCAAAUCGAACAACCAUGAGCUACGUGUUGACGACACUGACAAAGAAGGCAGAGGUGGACUCGAUCAUCAGAUCCACCAUCGACAAGGUCCUCGUCCUCCGCUUCGGCCGCGCUUCCGACUCCACCUCCCUUCUUCUCGACGACGUCCUCGCCAAGUCCUCCCGCGACGUCUCCAAGUUCGCCACCGUCGCUCUCGUCGACGUCGACUCCGACGACAUUCAGGUCUACCUCCACUACUUCGACAUCACCCUCAUUCCCUCCACCGUCUUCUUCUUCAACGCCCACCACAUGAAGAUGGACUCCGGAACUGCCGAUCACACCAAAUGGGUCGGCGCGUUUCGGACCAAGCAGGACUUCAUUGAUGUUGUCGAGGCCAUUUUCAGAGGAGCCAUGAAGGGCAAGCUCAUUGUCAACUGCCCAUUGCCGCCGGAGCGGAUUCCCAAGUAUCAGCUGUACUUUAAGGAUGUCUAGAAUGUGAUCAACUCCUGACAUUGUAUCAUAUAUAUAUAUAUAUAGUGAAAGGCUGGUGGUAAAGAGCAAAGGAGCAUGAAAAUCUUGGCAAAAAGAGAGUUCCAACAAGGGUUGGUACAUAGCUAGGUUCCCAAUUCUCCCCAUCAUUGACUGUCCUAAGCUCUUGGGGUCUAUCUUUCAUGCUUCGCUAUCUAUGCUAUCAUUGUGAGUUAGAUACUUAUGCUUCUAGUACAUGGCUGCUUCUUCUUGCUGCUUAGUGUUGGAAUACCAUGGUGUAUACAAUACCAUUCUCCUAAAUGUUGAAGCACUGUUAAAUUAUUAUCUAUAUAUGUAAUUAGGUAAAAUGCAUGUAUAUCAACGGGCAUUGGACAGUUGCUUUAAUACUAUGUGAAUUCUUGGAUUUGGGUCCAGUGUUUUGG